rnacentral:rRNA from 1 species
GACGAACGCUGGCGGCGUGCUUAACACAUGCAAGUCGAACGGAAAGGCCCUGCUUUUGUGGGGUGCUCGAGUGGCGAACGGGUGAGUAACACGUGAGUAACCUGCCCUUGACUUUGGGAUAACUUCAGGAAACUUGGGCUAAUACCGGAUAGGAGCUCCUGCUGCAUGGUGGGGGUUGGAAAGUUUCGGCGGUUGGGGAUGGACUCGCGGCUUAUCAGCUUGUUGGUGGGGUAGUGGCUUACCAAGGCUUUGACGGGUAGCCGGCCUGAGAGGGUGACCGGCCACAUUGGGACUAAGAUGCGGCCCAGACUCCGACGGGAGGCAGCAGUGGGGAAUAUUGCACAAUGGGCGGAAGCCUGAUGCAGCAACGCCGCGUGCGGGAUGACGGCCUUCGGGUUGUAAACCGCUUUCGCCUGUGACGAAGAGUGAGUGACGGUAAUGGGUAAAGAAGCACCGGCUAACUAAGUG